GAAACAAGCCAUAGCAGGACAUGGGACAUGGACGACAUUAGUAAAGCACAAAGUGUUUCCCACCUUUACGGACAUUUUGGACGACUCUAAGACCUCAGAGGAGCCCGAGACUAAACAGUGAGAUGAGAGAAAGACCCAAAGAUGUGGGACAAGAUGAAGAACAGCUCCAGGAAGAGCAAAGAGAGGAGGGAAACGCUGUUUAUAACUGGAAGGGAAGAGCACUAAAGAUUAUAUGUGGUCACUUCCUUUGUGCUAACUGUGGAAGGCUCCAGGAGCGAAAGCUAAAUAGAAGGCCUCAGAGGAGCCCAGCAUGAAGAAAAAGAAGGUGGACAGCCCCAGGAUGAGAAGCAAGAUGAGGAUGUGCCCCACCAUUAGAAAAGGGAUAAAGAAACACCCCCCUAAACGAGACCAGAACCG